rnacentral:rRNA from 1 species
UCUCCUCGAAAUAGCUUUAGGGCUAGCCUCAUGGAUCAUUGGUGGGGGUAGAGCACUGAAUGUGCGCGGGGGCCACAAAGCCUACCAAACGCUAUCAAACUUCGAAUACCAUACAAUGCAGACCAUGGGAGUCAGUCCGCGAGAGAUAAGUUCCGCGGGCAAAAGGGGAACACCCCAGAUCAACCGCUAAGGUCCCCAAGUUCACGUUAAGUGGAGAAGGAUGUGGAAUUGCACAGACAACCAGGAUGUUGGCUCAGAAGCAGCCACACAUUUAAAGAGUGCGUAAUAGCUCACUGGUCGAGUGAUUGUGCGCCGAAGAUGUCCGGGGCUAAACGUGACACCGAAGCGAUGGGUGCAUCUGAAGAAGAUGCGCGGUAGAGGAGCAAUGUGCAGAGGCAGAAGCCGUAUCGAGAGGCACGGUGGACACUGCACAAGAGAGAAUGCCGGUAUGAGUAGCGAGAGGCAUGCGAGAAACAUGCCCGUCGAAAGCCCAAGGUUUCCUGGGGAAGGUUCAUCCGCCCAGGGUAAGUCGGGGCCUAAGCCGAGGACGGAAGUCGUAGGCGAUGGACAGCAGGUGUAGAUUCCUGCACUACCGAUGGAAUGAAGCAGUGACACAGAAGGAUAACUCGAGCAGGGUGAUGGUCAACCCUGUGCAAGCAUCAAGGUUGGGUUGUAGUGAAGUACGCAACCCUAUAAGCUGAGAUGUGAUGCGGACCGAAAUUUCAGUAGGGAAGCGAGUGAGUUCACGCUGGCGAGAAAAGCUGCUAGUACAUCCAAAGGUACCCGUACCGGAAACCGACGCAGGUGGGCGAGGAGAGAAUCCUGAGACGAACGGGAGAACCCUUGUUAAGGAACUCGGCAAAAUGACCCCGUAACUUCGGGAUAAGGGGUGCCUGCGAGAGCAGGCCGCAGAGAAUAGUCACAAGCGACUGUUUAGCAAAAACACAGGUAUCUGCGAAAGCGAGAGCUGACGUAUAGGUGCUGACACCUGCCCGGUGCUGGAAGGUUAAGGGAACAUGUUAGAGCAAUCGAAGCAUCGAACCGAAGCCCCAGUAAACGGCGGCCGUAACUAUAACGGUCCUAAGGUAGCGAAAUUCCUUGUCGGGUAAGUUCCGACCCGCACGAAUGGUGUAACGACUUGUGAGCUGUCUCAACAGGGGGCCCGGUGAAAUUGAAGUAUGGGUGAAGAUGCCCAUUACCCGCGACUGGACGGAAAGACCCCGUAGAGCUUUACUGCAGCCUGAUAUUGAGUUUCGGUAACUGAUGCACAGGAUAGGUGGGAGUCUGAGAGACAUGGGUUUCGGCUCAUGUGGAGACGGUGUUGGGAUACCACUCUUCGGUUACUGAAAUUCUAACAUAGCUCUGUGAAACCAGAGGAUGGACAGUGUCAGGUGGACAGUUUGACUGGGGCGGUCGCCUCCGAAAGAGUAACGGAGGCGCCCAAAGGUACCCUCAGAAUGGAUGGAAACCAUUCGAAGAGCGCAAAGGCAGAAGGGUGCCUGACUGCGAGAGUGACAACUCGAGCAGAGACGAAAGUCGGGCUUAGUGAUCCGGCGGUAUUGAGUGGAAAAGCCGUCGCUUAACGGAUAAAAGCUACCUCGGGGAUAACAGGCUGAUCUCCCCCAAGAGUCCACAUCGACGGGGAGGUUUGGCACCUCGAUGUCGGCUCGUCGCAUCCUGGGGCUGAAGCAGGUCCCAAGGGUUUGGCUGUUCGCCAAUUAAAGCGGCACGCGAGCUGGGUUCAGAACGUCGUGAGACAGUUCGGUCCCUAUCCAUCGUGGGCGUAGGAGUCAUGAGAGGAGCUGUUCCUAGUACGAGAGGACCGGAAUGGACGCACCACUGGUGCAACUGUUGUCGUGCCAACGGCAUAGCAGGGAAGCGAAGUGCGGAUGGGAUAAACGCUGAAGGCAUCUAAGCGUGAAGCCCACCUCAAGAAUAAGACUCCACAAUAGACCCCUGGAGGACUACCAGGUAGAUAGGUCAUCGGUGGAAGCGCUGUAAGGCGUGU